CUGCAGCCAAUUAAGCUGACCAUGCUGCCCUCCCCAUGGCGCCCAGUGUGCAGUGGCUGCAAACAACAGCCUUCUAGGUAAUGUAUGCAGCCUGUUGCUUGAAUAGGCUGCCCUAAGGCACCCAGGAGACAGCC
rfam:Erinaceus europaeus unplaced genomic scaffold scaffold00955, whole genome shotgun sequence